GCCCCGUGAAUGCUCAGUGAUUGUGCUUUCUAGGAGUUAACACCGUCACUGCCUUGGUGGAAAACAAGAAAGCCCAGCUGGUGGUGAUAGGUGUGUUUGCCUGUUGACUGCUAAUCCACGGGCUUCUGUCAGUCCGGGAAGAGAGUAGGCCUAAUGACGACUCAGUGAUGAGACCGAAGUGGGUGCGUGAGGACAGUGCUGCCAAGGGAUCCAGCUCAAUGCGUCGCUCUUGCGGUGAUGUGAAUCUCUCACUGAAUUCAACCUUGAAGUGGAAAUCCAUGAGCUUUUUAACCCUGAGCAGUUGCUGCCGAGCUAGCUUUGAAAUGUACUGCUUUUGGUCCAAAUACACUUUUCAGCUAAUGCUUUCUUUCAGCUGGUGGUCUUCUUGCCUGCCCUGUGUCAGAAAAUGGGAGUCCCUUAUUGUACUAUCAAGGCUAAGGCAAGACUGGGACGUCUCAUCCACAGGAAGACCUGCACCACUGUCGCAUUCACCCAAGUUAAUGAGGAAGACAAAGGCGCCUUGGCUGAGCUGGUGGGAGCUGUCAGGACAAACUGCAGUGACAGAUAGGAUGAGGUAAGAGCAGCUUCACACAAAAUACUGUCAUGUACUAAUCUUUUUCCCAAACAACUGGCUGGCUUAACAUAUGAGCAGAUCUAUUUGGCGAUCAGGUUGGAACAGCCCAACAGAACCAUGCAGUAACCUUGAAAAUCUGAGAAAACAAGAGGCUAAACUGACUCCCUCUUUUUGUGUUUUCAGAUUCGCCGUCACUGGGGAGGCAACGUCCUGGGUCCCAAGUCUGGCUCACAUCGCCAAGCCUGGAAAAAGGAAAGGCCAAAAGAACUUGAAAGUGAUUUGGGGUGAAAUGUACAUAGUAGAGUUUGCUGUAAAUAAAAAUAAUUUAAACGAUA